rnacentral:misc_RNA from 1 species
AUGCGAUAAGUAAUGUGAAUUGCAGAAUUCAGUGAAUCAUCGAAUCUUUGAACGCACAUUGCGCCCGCCGGCAUUCCGGCGGGCAUGCCUGUCCGAGCGUCAUUUCAACCCUCAGGGUCCCCCGCCCAGCGCGGACGGGCCCUGGCGUUGGGGAUCGGCCCGCCCAGCGCGGCGCCGUCCCCUAAAUUCAGUGGCGGUCCCGCCGCAGCCUCCCCUGCGCAGUAGUUACCAACUCGCACUGGAGCGCGGCGCGGCCACGCCGUAAAACCCCCGACUUCUGGAAAGUUGACCUCGGAUCAGGUAGGAAUACCCGCUGAACUUAA